AGAGUUUGAUCAUGGCUCAGGAUGAACGCUAGCUACAGGCUUAACACAUGCAAGUCGAGGGGCAGCAUGGUCUUAGCUUGCUAAGGCCGAUGGCGACCGGCGCACGGGUGCGUAACGCGUAUGCAACCUACCUUUAACAGGGGGAUAACACUGAGAAAUUGGUACUAAUACCCCAUAAUAUCAUAGAAGGCAUCUUUUAUGGUUGAAAAUUCCGAUGGUUAGAGAUGGGCAUGCGUUGUAUUAGCUAGUUGGUGGGGUAACGGCUCACCAAGGCGACGAUACAUAGGGGGACUGAGAGGUUAACCCCCCACACUGGUACUGAGACACGGACCAGACUCCUACGGGAGGCAGCA
rnacentral:rRNA from 1 species